rnacentral:tRNA from 1 species
GCCUGGUGGGCUCAGUCGGUUAAGCAUCUGACUUCGGCUCAGGUCAUGGCCUCGCGGUUUGUGAGUUCAAGCCCCGCGUCAGGCU